rnacentral:rRNA from 1 species
CCUACGGGAGGCAGCAGUGGGGAAUAUUGGACAAUGGGGGGAACCCUGAUCCAGCGACGCCGCGUGAGUGAAUAAGUAUUUCGGUAUGUAAAGCUCUAUCAGCAGGGAAGAAAGAAAUGACGGUACCUGACUAAGAAGCCUCGGCUAACUACGUGCCAGCAGCCGCGGUUAGACGUCGGGGGCAUGCGUGAUCCGGAUUUACGGGGUGUAAGGGGAGCGUAGAUGGCGAUGCAAGUCUGAAGUCAAGGGCGGGGGGCCAACCUCCGGACUGCUUUGGAAACUGUAUGGCUGGAGUGCAGGAGAGGUAAGUGGAAUUCCUAGUGUAGCGGUGAAAUGCGUAGAUAUUAGGCGGAACACCAGUGGCGAAGGCGGCUUACUGGACUGUAACUGACGUUGAGGCUCGAAAGCGUGGGGAGCAAACAGGAUUAGAUACCCGGGUAGUC